UACGGGAGGGUGCGAGCGUUGUCCGGAAUCAUUGGGCGUAAAGAGCGUGUAGGCGGCUUGUUAAGUCUUGCGUGAAAUCUCGGGGCUCAACCCCGAGCGGUCGUGAGAAACUGGCAGGCUAGAGUGCGGGAGAGGAGAGUGGAAUUCCGGGGUGUAGUGGUGAAAUGCGUAGAGAUCCGGAGGAACACCAGUGGCGAAGG
rnacentral:rRNA from 1 species